UACGAAGGGGGCUAGCGUUGCUCGGAAUCACUGGGCGUAAAGCGCACGUAGGCGGAUUGCUAAGUCAGGGGUGAAAAUCCUGGAGCUCAACUCCAGAACUGCCUUUGAUACUGGCGAUCUUGAGUCCGGGAGAGGUGAGUGGAACUGCGAAGUGUAGAGGUGAAAUUCGUAGAUAUUCGCAAGAACACCAGUGGCGAAGGCGGCUCACUGGCCCGGUACUGACGCUGAGGUGCGAAAAGCGUGGGUAGCAAACAGG
rnacentral:rRNA from 1 species